UACGGGGGGGGCAAGCGUUGUUCGGAAUUACUGGGCGUAAAGGGCUCGUAGGCGGCCAACUAAGUCGGAUGUGAAAUCCCCAGGCUCAACUUGGGAACUGCAUCCGAUACUGGAUGGCUUGAAUUCGGGAGAGGGAUGUGGAAUUCCAGGUGUAGCGGUGAAAUGCGUAGAUAUCUGGAGGAACACCGGUGGCGAAGGCGGCAUCCUGGACCGAUAUUGACGCUGAUGACGCGAAAGCCAGGGGAGCAAAACGGG
rnacentral:rRNA from 1 species